AGAAAAUUCAGGGAGCAAAUGAGCACGAAGAAUCAUGGAUCUCCAACACUAUCCAUUGAUGGGCCUUUUGUUGAAAAUGAUGAAGAAACCAACAAUGAAAUCCUGCAGCAUUUGUGCAACAAUGGGAGACUCAUGGAUGCAUCGAGGCUGAUAGAUAUUAUGGCUCGUAGGAACCAAAUUCCCCACUUCAUUUGCUGUACAAACUUAAUCAGGG
rnacentral:misc_RNA from 1 species